rnacentral:lncRNA from 8 species
AUGAAAAAACGUUGGGCAAAUAAACCUUUGAAAAAAUCCCUCAAAGGAAAUGCCAUUGGACUCAAUAUGUUGGGAAUUGGCAAGAUGCCUAGCUCUCAAACUGAAGCAGUGCAUUUCAGCACAGUCCUCAACCACAGUGACUACUUUUUGAGCCAGGUACCCUCUCCAGGAGUGGUUGUCCAAGGCAGCAUCUUCCAACAUGCGUUUACCCCUGCUUUAGUGCUUCAGAAUAAUGGGCAAAGGUGAGAUAUCCCUUAUUUAAAAGGUAAUGAAGGAUUUUAAACAUUUGUCACUCAUGUCUGGAAUGCAUUAUAGGAUUGAUGGCGCACUAUGUCUUCAAACAGAAGAAUCGCCCAAGAAAAAUCCUUCUCUCCUACAACCUGCAGGUAAAUUGUUAUUCACUUGACUGCCAUUUCAUAAGAAGCCUACUGUACAGAGUAAAUGCAAUCCUUGACAUAAUGCUUAUUGUUUUUAUGUAGUUGUGUUGUCAGGUGAUGACAAGGAAGUAACCUCAGUCUGUUCUGGUACGCCAACGUCAGGGACUAGUCACUCCUCACCAACGCCCUCUGGUGGCAGUUUGGAGACAGUCGCUGAUGAUGAUUUCACAAGCAAUUACUUUACCAACUCCAAAACCAGACUACCAAGGAAGAAGCGAAUGAAAGACCCGGUAUCAGAAACACUCAAUGCUGUGUAGCCGUAGUCUGUCAGUGAUCAAAGGUCAAUUGGAUUUUUGAUAAGAAUCUUGACUGGUAAAACGACUUAGUCAAGGGACAUGUCACAUUUGAGUGACCUAUCAGUACACACCAAAUACAACCCUAAUGUAUGUGAUUUUGUUUAUACCUAUUAACACCAUCUGUUAUGUCAUGUUUUUCACUUAUUUUAAUGCUUCCCUUCAAAGUUUGGAAAGUUGGUCCCAGACAAACCCACCACAAAACGGCGAAGAGUAAAACAGAAUCAUCCCACAUCACCUCCUCCUAAAAAGACAUCUGCUGACAUUUCUGAGGGGAUUGAUGUGGUCUGCAGAUGUAUGAGAGUGGGAACAAUGUGCAGGACACCUCCCAAGCAUGUCACCGUAAGCUUAUUUUUAUCAUUUCAGUAUAAUAUUGAGUACAGUAUUUCAAAAUUAAAACUCUUUACCAAUAGAGAACAC